AUUGAAGUACUGAUUCCCAUACGAUCACUGAAGUUAAACAAUGUUGAGCCUGGUCAGUACCUAGAUGGGUGACCACUUGGGAAUACCAGGUGUUGUAAG